GAUGAACGCUGGCGGCGUGCCUAAUACAUGCAAGUCGAGCGAACGGACGAGAAGCUUGCUUCUCUGAUGUUAGCGGCGGACGGGUGAGUAACACGUGGAUAACCUACCUAUAAGACUGGGAUAACUUCGGGAAACCGGAGCUAAUACCGGAUAAUAUUUUGAACCGCAUGGUUCAAAAGUAAAAGACGGUCUUGCUGUCACUUAUAGAUGGAUCCGCGCUGCAUUAGCUAGUUGGUAAGGUAACGGCUUACCAAGGCAACGAUGCAUAGCCGACCUGAGAGGGUGAUCGGCCGCACUGGAACUGAGACACGGUCCAGACUCCUACGGGAGGCAGCAGUAGGGAAUCUUCCGCAAUGGGCGAAAGCCUGACGGAGCAACGCAGCGUGAGUGAUGAAGGUCUUCGGAUCGUAAAACUCUGUUAUUAGGGAAGAACAUAUGUGUAAGUAACUGUGCACAUCUUGACGGUACCUAAUCAGAAAGCCACGGCUAACUACGU
rnacentral:rRNA from 1 species